GCAGUCAUUGCACAGGCACUUUGGUGACUCUAGAUAACCUCGGACCGAUCACACGUCCCCUUGAUGACGACGCAUUCGGAUGUCUGCCAUAUCAACUUUCGAUGGUACGUUCUGUGCCUACCAUGGUGACCACGGGUAACGGGGAAUCAGGGUUCGAUUCUGGAGAGGGAGCCUGAGAAAUGGCUACCACAUCCAAGGAAGGCAGCAGGCACGCAAAUUACCCACUCCCGACGUGGGAAGUUAGUGAC